rnacentral:rRNA from 1 species
UACGUAGGGGGCAAGCGUUGUCCGGAAUCAUUGGGCGUAAAGCACGUGUAGGCGGCUCGAUAAGUCCGCUCUGAAAGUCCAGGGCUCAACCCUGGGAUGCGGGUGGAUACUGUCGGGCUCGAGUCCGGAAGAGGCGAGUGGAAUUCCCGGUGUAGCGGUGAAAUGCGCAGAUAUCGGGAGGAACACCAAUGGCGAAGGCAGCUCGCUGGGACGUGACUGACGCUGAGACGCGAAAGCGUGGGGAGCAAACAGG